ensembl:lncRNA
CUCUCCUCUCCUCUUCUUUCCUCUCCUCUCAUCUUAUCUCUUCUCACCUCCUCUCCUCUCCUUUCCUCUCAUCUCCUCUCCUUUCCUCUCCUCUCAUAUCCUCUCCUCUCCUCUUUUCUCCUCUCCUCUCCUUUCCUCUCAUCUCCUCUCCUUUCCUCUCCUCUCAUAUCCUCUCCUCUUUUCUCCUCUCCUCUCCUUUCCUCUCAUCUCCUCUCCUUUCUUCUCCUCUCUUUUCCUUUCCUUUCUCUCCUCUUCAGGCUUUCCUCUCCCUCGUUUGGGUGAUGGAGGAUGGCACACCUUCAGGGAGUGAGGGACUAAACUAAAAGGGUCUAAGAGUAUAAGGGGACUAAACUAAGAGGUCUAAGAGUAUAAGGGGACUAAACUAAAAGGGUCUAAGAGUAUAAGGGGACUAAACUAAAAGGGUCUAAGAGUAUAAGGGGACUAAACUAAAAGGGUUUAAGAGUAUAAGGGGACUAAACUAAGAGGUCUAAGAGUAUAAGGGGACUAAACUAAGAGUUCUAAGAGUAUGAGAGGACUCAACUAAGAGUUCUAAGAGUGGCCAC